rnacentral:lncRNA from 1 species
CUUCCUCUUCGUUGAUAUGGUCGUUAUUUUGCUCCUCGUCGGACGAAUUGGAGGCGUUGGACAAGGAAUCUUCGGACGACGACUGCUGCUUCGACGGUCUCGCCAUCCAAUUUGCAGUUACAAACCUCGAAUCUUCCGGCGGAUCGAGGGUUUACUCUGCUCAGCCUUUCCCGUUUGCGGAGAAAAAAGAAAAAUGCUAUGAGAAAACGAACUAGUCGAGUUGAAAUCAUGAGAGCAACGGGAGCAUUAUAUGUUGGGAUAUUUUGGGCGGUUAGAUAUACGGGAGCAAGAUCGUGCGGCUUCAGACGGAUAUAUAGUUUCCCGCAUUUCCUGGUAAAUUUUUCGCUGUGGUUCCCGCUUUCAGAUUUGGACAAAGGAAUUUCAGAAGAUGGAGAAAGGCCACAAACGACGCUGAGAUUCGGACAUGUCAACAACAAUAUUAACGGUAAAUAGAAAUAUUAGAAAUAGAUGGCGCAACACCAUUGGUAAGAUAAUUAAUUUUAUUUUUUAAAUACAAAUUGUUAUAGAAUUGCAGACACGUCAGCAACAGAAUUAACGGUGAGCAAAAGUGUUAAAAACAGAUGGCGCAACACCAUUCGUUGUGUAACAUAAUUGAUUAGACAAUCUAAACUUCUCCCCAACUGCAGUGUUCCAUUAAAUAGCUAACGACGCAAUUUUGUUCUUCUUUAAUCCUUCAACCACUUUAAACUUCUAAAAAAUGGCUUGUACAUGUUCUUAAUCAUGCAUUAUUCUCUUCAAUUCCUUUAUAUAUCCGGUCACAAGUUGGCGAGUGGAUGUCAAACACUCUCAAGUUAGAAAGUAGAAAAUGUUUACAGAGUCUGUGCAAGCCUUUAGUACAUAGGUCACUUAUGUAACAUUCCGAUUUUUUUCAACAAGAUAUUGUCCGUUUUGGUUUUGAAUCUCACUUAUUUGCUUUUUGGGAUGCAUCUUGGUGACAUCCCAAGUGGUCAUAUGUCUGCACUACUCCACACUGAGCACGUUUCACUUCAGAGUUCUUACGACAACUUCUCCUCUAUUUCAUCUCGAAAACGCGUCUUGUUAGUUAAGGUCGGAUUUUUUUCUUAUAGCACAUGGAUCUCCUCCCGUGCUUUGUCGGUUUGGGAUUUUCGAGAGACAAGGACUAUAUCUUGUUGAAAAUGGUCGGGAUAUUACAAGCUAGUUGUGACUCAGUAGCCAAAUGCUUCAGCUUAAUCAAACCUGACUUGAUCUUUUCACGUGUAACAUGACAAUUGAUCUCAAUGUGCUUAGUACGCUCAUGAAACACAAGAUUUUCUGUUAUAUAAAUCACUGACCUGUUGUAUUAACAGUAUUAACGGUAAAAAGAAAUAUUAGAAAUUGAUGGUGCAGCACCAUUGGUAAUAUAAUUAAUUUCAUUUUCUUUAUAUACAGACGGUUAUUGUGUUUCGAACACGUCAACAACAAAAUUAACGGUAAACAGAAAUAUUAAAUACAUGUGGUGCAAAACCAUUCUUUGUAACAUAAUUAAUUAGGCAGUCUAAACUUCUCCACAACGACAAUGUUCCAUUAAAAAGCCAACGAUGUUGUCUUGUUUUUCUUAAUUCUUCAACCUUUUUAAACUUCUAGGAGAUGGCUUGUACUUAUUCUUAAUCAAGCAUUCCUCUCUUCAACUCCUUCCAAUAUCCUUUCACAAGGACUCCCAACUUGAAAAGUAAAAAAAAUUUACGACGUCUGUGUAAGUGUCAUGGUCAUGACAGACGUCACGGCCGGGGGGGAUGUGGUAGGGGGCCGGGGGGCUCUCACAACAAAAAAAGGCGACAACAACAGCAGUUCCAAAUCUUGUUUUGACCAUAACUUAUUCGUUUGGAUUUUGAUUUCGCUCCAGAAUGUACCGUUGGCUUUAUAGUCGAAUUCUCUAUCUCAAGAACACUUGCAAUCUAGGAAAAUACUCUAAAAACAAGUCAAAUGGAUCGAAAUGGUUUGUUUGAGAGGAGACGAACACGAAAUGCACUUAUGACCAACCAGGUACUAUUAACAAGCAAACAUCAUCAAAACCGAAGCAAAACCAGUCAAGAUGGGUGAGAUAUAUACCAAGGGUUUAUGUGCUAUCAACAAUCCUUUAGUAAACAGGUCACCUAUAUAACAUCUCGACUUUUUCCAACAAGAUAUUAUUCGGUUUGGUCUUUGUCCCUCAUAUAUCUGGUUUUCGGGAUGCAUCUAGGUGACUUCCCAAGAGAUCACCCUUAUGCGCUGCUCCACCCUGAGCACGUUUAACUUUAGAGUUCUUACAAAAACUCUUCCAUUUCACCCCCAAAAACGCGGUUUGUUAGUUAAGAUCAGAUUUUUCCUUAUAGCCCAUGGAUCUCCCCGUUUGGUGCUACUACCUGACAACCUCCUCAAGAGCUACUAAACGACCAAGGUCGGAAUCCAUAUAAAUUCAAUUGUACCGUUAUAGAAAUUAUCACUUUUGGUCCCUUGAUUAUUAAAAGAUAACAAAAGAACAAAACAUUGAAAAGUUACAAUUUGGUCACUGUAUGACAAUCCAUCCUCCUUAAGAAUAGGCUUGUCUCAAGCUUUGAAAUCGAGGAACUUGGGAUGGAAUUUAACCCAAUCCGCCCAGGUUGCUUCAGCUUCAUCUUGAUGGGACCAUUGGACUAGCGCCUGUGUAACAGCUUGGUUAUUCUUCUUUAUAAACCUCCAUGCCAAAAUGGCCACUAGUUCAAUCUUCAUCACUCCAUCAUCAUCUAGCUCAGGCAAUGCUGUCUGCACUUUAUUAUUGUUUCCAAUUGCUCGUUUGAGUAAACUUACAUGGAAAACUGGAUGGAUUAACAAGCUGCUAGGUAAUUUCAACUUGUAAGCCACCACCCCCAUCUUAGCUUCAAUCUCAUAGGGUCCAAAUUAUCUUGGCGAGAGCUUAGCACAAUGCCUGGAUGCUACUAAUUGUUGCCUGUAGGGUUGUAACUUCAAAUAAACCUAAUUCCUACUGCAAAUUGCCUCUCUGUUGUGUGUUUAUCAGCUUGCUACUUAUGCCUGUUUGAAGCUCUAGCAAGGCUGUUCCCGAGUGUAGUUAUCAGUAACUGUUGCCUCUGCAGCUUUUCCUCAACUGCUGCUAUAGGGAUGUUCAAAGGGUUAUGUACUCCAAAUGCAGAAGGAGCAUAUCUGUAUAAUGCUUCAAAAGGAGUUAAGUUAAGGCUUGAAUGAAAAUUGGUGUUAUGCCACCAUUCAGCCAUUGCUAAGCAUUCUAACCACUUUUUGGGUUUACCUUGCACCAUAGCAUGAAGAUAAUCCUCCAAACAUCAAUUCAAUCUCUCAGUUUGACCAUCCGUUUGAGGGCGGUAAGCAGUUGAGUAAUGUAGCUUACUUCCUUACAAUUGAAAUAGUUCCUAACAAAAAUGGCUUGUGAACAUUGUAUCCCUAUCAAAACUAUUAUUUCUGGAAGGCCAUGAAGCUUACACACUCCUUCCAUGAAUACCUUAGCUAUGCUGGCAGCUAUAUAGGGAUGACUAACAGCUAGAAACUGUGCAUACUUGGUAAACCGAUCCACUACUACAAAUAUUACCUCUAAUCCGACAGAUUGAGGGAGACCUUCAAUGAAGUCUAUUUCAAUAUGCUUCCAUGCCUGAUUAGGAAUGGGCAAUGGCUGCAACAGUCCUGGAUAAGAAACCUGUUCAGCCUUGCAUUACUGGCAGGUAUGACAGUUUGCCACCCAUUCAGCUACAUCUUUCUUCAACCCUGGCCAAUAGAAGUACCUUUUGAUUCUCUGCUAAUUGGCUUGCACCCCUGAAUGCCCUCCUCUUGGUGAGCCAUGAAAUAGGGCUAGCAAAUGCCUUCUCUAUUCUCUAGACUUGCCUAGCCAUUGGAACUUCAGACUUAGUUGCUUGAAAUCCAUCUCAAUCGAGAUAAUUGUUUGCAGCCAAUCAACUCCCAACACCAAAUCAUUCUCCUUGAGUUCCAGGACACGCACAUCAAAAUCAAACGGUUGUCCUUGCAUAAACCAUGUGAAUCCCUUACAGGUUUUCGUGUUGAGUAAGGCAUCUCUGUUAGCAACCUUCACCUUCAUCGUUGGAGCAGCUUAUAAGGUGCAUUGCAUUUCUUUAGCACAAGAUUGACUAAGGACGGUAUGGCUACUCCCUGUGUCAACCAAAAUAAGCAAGCCAACUCUUCCAAUUUUCAUGGAAGAGAUAGGAUUAGCUCCCAUUGCCAAGUAGUGGAUCUCCUCCAACUCUUGAGUGUUCUCCUCCUCUGCCAUAUCAUUCUCCACGUCCUCCUCUGUUACUUCAGCAUCUCCUUCCAACAGGUUGAGGCAUUUCUUCCCACAUUGAUGGCCAUAAAAAUAUCGGCCUCCACACUUAAAGCAAGUUCCUGGGGUUCUUCCUCCUUGAGAAGAAGCUCCAAAAGGUCUGGUUGGAGCCGCCUGGAACCUCCUUAAACUGCCAGGACCAGGGCCAUUUGACUCUGGAAACCGAUUAUUAGAGCUACGAUACUUCUUCUUUCUAGCUUCAAUGGAGGUUUCCUCCAUCCGUGCCUGCAAGAAUGUUAUGUUCAACGUUUGGGGUCUCAACAUCAACAAAACAGGUUGUAUUUCAUCAUCUAGCCCACUAAUAAUACUAUUGAUGAAAUACUCCUCGCCCAAGGUGGGAGUGAGCUUAAGCAUUCGAGCUCUCAACUCUUCAAAUUAUUCUUGGUACUGUGUCACUGAGCUGGUCUGCUUGAGCCUAUUAAAAGCUCCCAUUGUAUUAAUAUGACCAGAAUCACCGAAUCUUUGUAGUAAAUCGACAACAAAAUCGUCCAGCAGACCAUCCUUGAAACCAUACAUCCACACGAUCUUCCAAAAAAAGGGAGACCAAAUCCAUCUUUUGAUUAUCAGCUAUACUGUGCAUAGUAAAUAGCUUUUGGCACUUACGGAUCCACGAAGUUGGCUCAAUACCACUGAAAUGGGGAAAUUCCCGCCUUGGCAUGUGAUUAUGCCCUGCCUGAUCGGACGUGGAAGGAGUCUACGGUUCAGUGGUGUUAGCGGUUGCUGAGCCUCGAGCAAGCGAUGUAUCAUCCGUAAGUCGGCCACGUCAGCCGGCAGCUGCUCCUGGGCGGUGGCAAACCGGUUUUGGGUCUCUUG